UACGGAGGGUGCAAACGUUGCUCGGAAUCAUUGGGCGUAAAGCGUACGUAGGCGGUCCAGCAAGUCGGGUGUGAAAUCCCUGGGCUUAACCGAGGAGGUGCAAACGAAACUACUGGACUUGAGUACUGAAGAGGGUCGCGGAAUUCCCGGUGUAGCGGUGAAAUGCGUAGAUAUCGGGGAGGAACACCUGUGGCGAAAGCGGCGCACUGGACCAUAACUGACGCUGGAGGCGCGGAAAAGCUAGGGGAGCAAACAGG
rnacentral:rRNA from 1 species